UUGACCUCAAAUCGAGUAGGACUACCCGCUGAACUUAAGCAUAUCAAUAAGCGGAGGAAAAGAAACUAACAAGGAUUCCCCUAGUAACGGCGAGUGAAGAGGGAAGAGCUCAAAUUUUAAAUCUGGCGUCUUUGGCGUCCGAAUUGUAAUCUAGAGAAGUGUUUUCCGUGACGGACCGUGCAUAAGUCUCCUGGAAUGGAGUGUCAUAGAGGGUGAGAAUCCCGUAUAUGGCACGGACUCCCGUUGCUCUGUGAUACACUCUCGACGAGUCGAGUUGUUUGGGAAUGCAGCUCUAAAUGGGUGGUAAAUGCCAUCUAAAGCUAAAUAUUGGCGAGAGACCGAUAGCGAACAAGUACCGUGAGGGAAAGAUGAAAAG
rnacentral:rRNA from 1 species